rnacentral:rRNA from 1 species
GACGAACGCUGGCGGCGUGCUUAACACAUGCAAGUCGAACGGAAAGGCCCUGCUUUUGUGGGGUGCUCGAGUGGCGAACGGGUGAGUAACACGUGAGUAACCUGCCCUUGACUUUGGGAUAACUUCAGGAAACUGGGGCUAAUACCGGAUAGGAGCUCCUGCUGCAUGGUGGGGGUUGGAAAGUUUCGGCGGUUGGGGAUGGACUCGCGGCUUAUCAGCUUGUUGGUGUGGUAGUGGCUUACCAAGGGUUUGACGGGUAGCCGGCAUGAGAGGGUGACCGGCCACAUUGGGACUGAGAUACGGCCCAGACUCCUACGGGAGGCAGCAGUGGGGAAUAUUGCACAAUGGGCGGAAGCCUGAUGCAGCAACGCCGCGUGCGGGAUGACGGCCUUCGGGUUGUAAACCGCUUUCGCCUGUGACGAAGCGUGAGUGACGGUAAUGGGUAAAGAAGCACCGGCUAACUACGUG